rnacentral:tRNA from 3 species
GGAGAGGUGUCCGAGAGGUUGAAGGUGGCGGUCUCGAAAACCGUUGUGCAAGUUUACUUGCACCGUGGGUUCAAAUCCCACUCUCUCCGCCA